rnacentral:rRNA from 1 species
UACGUAGGGGCAGCAGUGUUCGAUUCGAAUUGGUGCGUAAAGAGCGUGUAGGCGGCUUGGUAGGUCCGCUGUGAAAACUCGAGGCUCAACCUCGAGAUGUCGGCGGAAACCACUUGGCUAGAGUCCGGAAGAGGAGAGUGGAAUUCCCGGUGUAGCGGUGAAAUGCGCAGAUAUCGGGAAGAACACCUAUGGCGAAGGCAGCUCUCUGGGACGGUACUGACGCUGAGACGCGAAAGCGUGGGGGAGCAAACAGG